rnacentral:rRNA from 1 species
UGCCAGCAGCCGCGGUAAUACAGAGAUGGCAACCGUUGUUCGGAAUCACUGGGCUUAAAGCGCACGUAGGCGGAUUAUCAAGUUGGGGGUGAAAUCCCGGGGCUCAACCCCGGAACUGCCUCCAAAACUAUCAGUCUAGAGUUCGAGAGAGGUGAGUGGAAUUCCGAGUGUAGAGGUGAAAUUCGUAGAUAUUCGGAGGAACACCAGUGGCGAAGGCGGCUCACUGGCUCGAUACUGACGCUGAGGUGCGAAAGCGUGGGGAGCAAACAGGAUUAGAUA